rnacentral:rRNA from 1 species
GACGAACGCUGGCGGCGUGCCUAAUACAUGCAAGUCGAGCGAAGCGGCGGAUGGGUGAGAAACGCGUGGGUAACCUGCCCUUAAGUCAGGGAUAACAGUUGGAAACAGAUGCUAAUACCGGAUAUUAAAGGAUGCGCCGGCGAGGCAUUAGCUAGUUGGUAAGGAAACGGCUUACCAAGGCGAUGAUGCAUAGCCGAGUUGAGAGAGUGAUCGGCCACAUUGGGACUGAGACACGGCCCAAACUCCUACGGGAGGCAGCAGUAGGGAAUCUUCCACAAUGGACGAAAGUCUGAUCGAGCAACGCCGCGUGAGUGAAGAAGGUUUUCGGAUCGUAAAGCUCUGUUGUUGGAGAAGCGGUAAUCAACCAGAAAGCCACGGCUAACUACGUGCCAGCCGCCGCGGUAAUUC